GAGUUUUGCCUUUGAGGCACUCCAACGACUCAGCCGGAUCUUCCUAGAUCCGGCUUUUUUCGUUCAGAUG
rnacentral:misc_RNA from 1 species